AGAUGAGAAAAUUUGAAUUGAACUCUGGACCUCUCUGGUAGAAGAUGAACAACUUAACGGUCACACCACAAUGUAAAAGACUCAUCUUCACUGUGUUGCUUCUUGCAAUAAUUCAACUCCUGGAAAACCUUGAUCAACUUGAGUAAUCAUGAAACAACCUGGGAGAGAAUGAAAAAUGCUUUGAAUA